CUGCAGUGAUGAUGACUUAGGACACCUUUGAGUCAACUGAAAAUAAAACGUUGAAUCUGAGCGAU